UUUAUCACUGAUUUAUAUAUUUUUUGUAUGAUGGAUGACAUUUUUGACGUUGAAAACUCUUCUAAUUCUAUGGACCAGGCUGAGAUAAGUCAAUAUGUUGAGGCGCACAGACCACUAACAUUUCAAAGCGAUACUGCGCUCAGAUUUACUGGAACCAAUUUUUAUAGGAAAAAGGAAAAUAGUACUAAAUACAAGCAUUUUACAACAGGUGUUAUCAAUAAAGGAUAUAAUAAUCUUUAUAAAAGGAGGUCUCGAAAGAAAAAUUUGAACUUACAGCAAUUAGAGUCGGGACUAUAUGUAAUAGUACGCGAUCGAAAUUCAUUUAUAGAAGAGGUCAACUUCGAUGAACGAAUGGUUUAUGUUUCAGUAGCAGAAAACGCACAAUUCGAAGAGCAGUCUUCUGAAAGCGAUGUUUGAAUAAUUCAAUAAAGUGCAUAAUUCAUUUGUAUAAGACCGCUAACAUGUGACCAUGAAAUAUACUGGAGAGACUUAAAAUCGUUAACUACUCUGACACCUAAGUAAAAUUACACGAACAUGAACUUUUGAAAAGGAUUGUGGUAUUAAGGAAACUAGGAUACUUCUGAUCUUGCUGUU